rnacentral:rRNA from 1 species
GAUGAACGCUGGCGGCGUGCCUAAUACAUGCAAGUCGAGCGAACAGACGAGGAGCUUGCUCCUCUGACGUUAGCGGCGGACGGGUGAGUAACACGUGGAUAACCUACCUAUAAGACUGGGAUAACUUCGGGAAACCGGAGCUAAUACCGGAUAAUAUAUUGAACCGCAUGGUUCAAUAGUGAAAGACGGUGUUGCGGUCACUUAUAGAUGGAUCCGUGCCGCAUUAGCUAGUUGGUAAGGUAACGGCUUACCAAGGCAACGAUGCGUAGCCGACCUGAGAGGGUGAUCGGCCACACUGGAACUGAGACACGGUCCAUACUCCUACGGGAGGCAGCAGUAGGGAAUCUUCCGCAAAGGGCGAAAGCCUGACGGAGCAACGCCGCGUGAGUGAUGAAGGUCUUCGGAUCGUAAAACUCUGUUAUUAGGGAAGAACAAAUGUGUAAGUAACUAUGCACGUCUUGACGGUACCUAAUCAGAAAGCCACGGCUAACUACGUG